ACUGGAGGCAGCAGUGGGGAAUAUUGCACAAUGGGCGCAAGCCUGAUGCAGCCAUGCCGCGUGUAUGAAGAAGGCCUUCGGGUUGUAAAGUACUUUCAGCGGGGAGGAAGGGAGUAAAGUUAAUACCUUUGCUCAUUGACGUUACCCGCAGAAGAAGCACCGGCUAACUCCGUG
rnacentral:rRNA from 1 species